rnacentral:rRNA from 1 species
GACGAACCACACAAACGUUAUUCGGAAUUACUGGGCUUAAAGGGUGCGUAGGCUGCGCAGUAAGUUGGGUGUGAAAUACCUCGGCUCAACCGAGGAACUGCGCCCAAAACUACUGUGCUUGAGGAAGAUAGAGGUAAGCGGAACUUACGGUGGAGCGGUGAAAUGCGUUGAUAUCGUAAGGAACACCUGUGGCGAAAGCGGCUUACUGGGUCUUUUCUGACGCUGAUGCACGAAAGCUAGGGGAGCAAACGGGAUUAGAAACCCCUGUAGUCC